UCGUGCCUACGGGAGGCAGCAGUGGGGAAUAUUGCACAAUGGGGGGAACCCUGAUGCGGCGACGCCGCGUGGGCGAGGAAGUAUUUCGGUAUGUAAAGCCCUAUCGGCAGGGAAGAAGAAAUGACGGUACCUGAAUAAGAAGCACCGGCUAAAUACGUGCCAGCAGCCGCGGUAAUCCGUAUGGUGCAAGCGUUAUCCGGAUUUACUGGGCGUAAAGGGAGCGCAGGCGGCGCGCCAAGUCUG
rnacentral:rRNA from 1 species